UUGUUUUCUUUAAAAUAAUUUACUUAAAAAUAAAUUAUAUUGAAUUUUAGAAUUGACUGACCCUUAGCUAAAAGACUAAGGUAUCUAAAGAAAAAAUUUCAUUAACAUCCACUACAUACCUUAUUUCUGAAAAAGAAAAAUGCACGGAAAAAAAAAGUUCGCGGCGAAGCGUAAAAUGGUUUUCGCAGUACAACGUCAGCAUUUAAGUGCAGACAAAAUUAAAAUUUUGAACAGACUAUCUAGUGAUAUUAAUUAACACUUCGGCUAUCCUGAAAAACUCUACUUUUUAAGUGGCGCCAAAUAAUACGCAAAAGAGCGACUUACCCCUAAGCCAACUAGCCCCGGUCUCCCCUACUCAUAUUCAAGUGACAGCAAGAUAAUAAACUAGCCCCCCAAGUCAAAGUCCGUGUGGAAACUACUAAACAGUAUUCCACUUAACUUUUGCUUCAGGCGGGGAGGUGCGGGAAUUAGGGAGAAGACAGGUUUGAUUUAAACACCACCUUUAACACUUUUUUUAUUAUCUUCAUCGCCAAAAAACUGGCACUUGCUUUCCGAAGUAAGUAUGGGCUGGCUGGCAACCAGUCAUCUGUUCACCUCAAAUUUUCUUUUCCGUCAGGGUAGACAACUGAAUUGUGACAAACCCGAGAAUACAAAGUUGUUCUUAACAAAAAAAGUUUGUGUAUUCAACGUUUCAAGUUAAUUUUUAUUUCUCGAUGCAAAGGUAAAACAAAGGUCCAGAACACUUGCAGUUAUUGGUUCGAAGCAAAAGCGGAAGAUUACUUUACUUCUUUCAACCGUCUUCAGCUAUAGAUAAGACUUCAUUUUAUCUCAUUUGUACCGAGCUACUAGAAUGGUGUUGGCAUUUUCAACAAAAAUGCCUGUUAUUUCCAUGAACAAAAUUAUCGAAACUAUUCAACAACUCUCCGAAUUACACAAUUGAUUGGAGAAACACAGAGUUUAUAAUGGCAAUGAGGGAAUACGAGUUCAAUCGUAUUAGAAUUAAACAAAAGAUAUUAAGGGUAGAACACAUGAAAUGUAAAGCUUACGGGGUCAAACCACUUGAUUGUCAUUGUGAUGGUAACAUGAAAUGUUACAGAUGUGAAUCGGCUCAUAGCCAUGGAGCCAAAGAGUUGUUGGAAAAUGUGGCCAUAGCCAAAAAUUAUGAAGUAGAAGCUUUUGUUGCGGAAGCAAACAAAGCUUUUCAUGAGACUAGGAAACGCGGCGUGCGGUGGUUCCACUUUUAAAGCUGGGCAAUCUGAUUCCCAUUCCCAUUCAAAGAAAAUGGAUGAAACGGCAAUUUUGUGUAUGUGAUGUCGUCACGGUUUAGUACUCCGUGCAGCAAACAUUCAUCGAGGAGACACAUACCGAAUUAGGAACCAUCGACCCUAAAAUUGCUUGCCUUACCCAAAAGCUUUUUAAGAUUUCAUGGGAAAGCGCAUACUUGGUGAUGCCAGGUAUUAUGUUUCGGUCAUUUUCGGAAAGGCGCUGCUGCGACUGUUGGAGAGGAAAUUGAGCAGGGUUUCAGUAAAAUCUCCAGAUACAAUGUUUCUAAAAAACACAUGACUAGCUCUAGAAAGCAUUUUUAAAUUUAGUUGCGAUUUUACGUUAGCCUUUUACAUUUUUUACUUUCAGACAGAAACGAUCGCCUAAGUAAAGGUUUUAUUUAUGAAAACGAAAGUAAAGAGAAUAAAAUGGUUUUUACUUUGCCUAAACGUCUUAAGACGGUGAAUAAAAAUGUAGAGUAGCUUAAAUGUUUUCUCCCAACUCCCACUAAAUUACGCAACUAGAAUUGAAUCCAAAUAGAAUUGGAGGGUAUUGCACUGGCAAUAUGUAACAGAAUUCCCAUUCUACAAGCAUGGUUUCUUCAUUUUCUCUCCCCAAAAUCCCUCGUCACACAGACUCUACUAGAAUUCACCAUAAAACUGCAAGUAGCAACAGAAUAAACCUAUUUCCAAUCGACUCCCCAAAAGACACCUGCGCCACACGAAGACACCUUCUUACAUCAGCCGACUGAAACAGGAGCACCCUCGUCUAGCCGAAAACUUCCAGAACAUCUUCCUACCUGUUUGUACUUCUAGAAUAUUCUUGCACCUGCACCACACACGCCAGAAUAUUCAUACUCUUCUUAGAUUAAGAUCACAAUGUAUAAAUAACCCUUAGAUUUAGAAAUAUUUUUACUUAUUAUUCUCUUAAACCCUAGUUAACUGACCUAUCCCAACUGUCACCAUAGUUCGGGGCUGGCUUUAACACAGGACUAUUAUACUAAUUUAUACCUCAAACUGACGCUUUCUCCAGUAAAUCGUACGGCCUAAAACUAUAAUUCUUCUCAACCUCCCGUGACUCAUCCUUUCGGAUGGGUACCCCUUAACCUCCCUAAUAUUCGACUUAAAUGGGUUGACAGAACUGUCAACUCGAGUCGGGGGUUGCUUUUGUACGGAGCCAUCUUUCCCUACGGUUUUCCUUAUUCGGGUAACGGCAACAUCUUUUCCAUAUAAAAGACCGUGACUGACUCUCGCAAUACAUUUUCUUUUUAGUUUUCUUUCCGGUUCCAUCUCGGUUCUUUUCGAGCUCUGUGACCUAACAGCUCUGUUUAAAGUACCAGUUUAGUUCAAUUAACUUAAUUCGUUGAAUCGGGUAUUACCUCUCACAUUGUUUAACCGUUCCCAAUUGGUAUGUCACACCUAACUUAACUUAUAAUUGUAGACUUAGACUUGGUAACCAAUACAUUUGCAUUGUGGAUUA